rnacentral:rRNA from 1 species
UACGGAGGUUGCAAGCGUUGUUCGGAUUUACUGGGCGUAAAGGGAGCGCAGGCGGCCAAGUUAGUCCAAAGUGAAAUCCCGGGGCUCAACCUCGGACGUGCUUUGGAUACUGCUUGGCUUGAGUACGUGAGAGGUAAGCGGAAUUCCAGGUGUAGCGGUGAAAUGCGUAGAUAUCUGGAGGAACACCGGUGGCGAAAGCGGCUUACUGGCACGAGACUGACGCUGAGGCUCGAAAGCGUGGGGAGCGAACGGG